UGAUGUUGGAUUAUGAUACUUUUUUAAUGAAGAUAUUAAAAAAAGAAGUUUGUUCNACUUUUNACAUCCUACUUGANCUGAGUUUNGACCGAUGAGAAUCAGGUUGGAUUCUAUCUUAAUUUUUAUUUAAUUUUAAAUAGUACGAAAGGAAUUUUNAAAAUUAAGCAUUUAAAUAAAUUUCGCUUUAUUUGCAUCAAUUUUUGGAAUU
rnacentral:rRNA from 1 species